rnacentral:rRNA from 1 species
CCUACGGGAGGCAGCAGUGGGGAAUAUUGCACAAUGGGCGAAAGCCUGAUGCAGCGACGCCGCGUGAGGGAUGACGGCCUUCGGGUUGUAAACCUCUUUCAGUAGGGAAGAAGCGAAAGUGACGGUACCUGCAGAAGAAGCGCCGGCUAACUACGUGCCAGCAGCCGCGGUAAUACGUAGGGCGCAAGCGUUAUCCGGAAUUAUUGGGCGUAAAGAGCUCGUAGGCGGUUUGUCGCGUCUGCCGUGAAAGUCCGGGGCUCAACUCCGGAUCUGCGGUGGGUACGGGCAGACUAGAGUGAUGUAGGGGAGACUGGAAUUCCUGGUGUAGCGGUGAAAUGCGCAGAUAUCAGGAGGAACACCGAUGGCGAAGGCAGGUCUCUGGGCAUUAACUGACGCUGAGGAGCGAAAGCAUGGGGAGCGAACAGGAUUAGAUACCCUGGUAGUCCAUGCCGUAAACGUUGGGCACUAGGUGUGGGGGACAUUCCACGUUUUCCGCGCCGUAGCUAACGCAUUAAGUGCCCCGCCUGGGGAGUACGGCCGCAAGGCAAAACUUAAAUGAAUUGACGG